CAGUAGCCGCGGUAAUACGUAGGUGGCAAGCGUUGUCCGGAAUUAUUGGGCGUAAAGGGCUCGCAGGCGGUUUCUUAAGUCUGAUGUGAAAGCCCCCGGCUCAAUCGGGGAGGGUCAUUGGAAACUGGGAAACUUGAGUGCAGAAGAGGAGAGUGGAAUUCCACGUGUAGCGGUGAAAUGCGUAGAGAUGUGGAGGAACACCAGUGGCGAAGGCGACUCUCUGGUUUGUAACUGACGCUGAGGAGCGAAAGCGUGGGGAGCGAACAGGAUUAGAUACCCCUGUAGUCCUGUCUCUUAUACA
rnacentral:rRNA from 1 species